rnacentral:rRNA from 1 species
GACGAACGCUGGCGGCGUGCUUAACACAUGCAAGUCGUACGGAAAGGCCCUUUCGGGGGUGCUCGAGUGGCGAACGGGUGAGUAACACGUGAGUAACCUGUCCCGGUCUUUGGGAUAACCUUCGGAAACGGGGGCUAAUACCGGAUACUCCCAGGCUGCCGCAUGGUGGUGUGGGGAAAGCUCGUGAGGGCGGAUUGGGGGGGGCUCGCGGCCUAUCAGCUUGUUGGUGGGGGGAUGGCCUACCAAGGCGGUGACGGGUAGCCGGCCUGAGAGGGCGACCGGCCACACUGGGACUGAGACACGGCCCAGACUCCUACGGGAGGCAGCAGUGGGGAAUAUUGCACAAUGGACGCAAGUCUGAUGCAGCGACGCCGUGUGAGGGAUGACGGCCUUCGGGUUGUAAACCUCUUUCGCCCGGGACGAAGGGGUAGCUUGACGGUACCGGGAGAAGAAGCGCCGGCCAACUACGUGCCAGCAGCCGCGGUAACAC